ACUCAAAUGAAUUGACGGGGACCCGCACAAGCGGUGGAUGAUGUGGAUUAAUUCGAUGCAACGCGAAGAACCUUACCUACCCUUGACAUGUCACUAACGAAACAGAGAUGUAUUAGGUGCCCGAAAGGGAAAGUGAACACAGGUGCUGCAUGGCUGUCGUCAGCUCGUGUCGUGAGAUGUUGGGUUAAGUCCCGCAACGAGCGCAACCCUUGUCAUUAGUUGCUACGGAUAGAGCACUCUAAUGAGACUGCUGGUGAUAAACCGGAGGAAGGUGGGGAUGACGUCAAGUCCUCAUGGCCCUUAUGGGUAGGGCUUCACACGUCAUACAAUGGUCGGUACAGAGGGUCGCCAACCCGCGAGGGGGAGCUAAUCUCACAAAGCCGAUCGUAGUCCGGAUUGUAGUCUGCAACUCGACUACAUGAAGUCGGAAUCGCUAGUAAUCGCAGAUCAGCAUGUUGCGGUGAAUACGUUCCCGGGUCUUGCACACACCGCCCGU
rnacentral:rRNA from 1 species